UUACUUUAACAGCACAUAUACUAAAAUUGGAAAGAUAGAGAAAAAUGAUCAUGGUCCCUGCACAAGGAUGACAUGCAAAUUCAUGAAGUGUUCCAAUGUAAA
rfam:Erinaceus europaeus unplaced genomic scaffold scaffold00078, whole genome shotgun sequence